rnacentral:lncRNA from 1 species
AAAGAAAAAGAUUAAUCAGAAUAUUAGACUUUCAUAAUAAGUCUGCAGUCAAAAAUAUUGACAGAUACACUGUCCACCAUAUAAUGCUUUCGAGAAAUAACCUCCCUUUGUGAUCCCAUUGAGAAUUUGAUACUGCCCAAUACAGCAGUGAGUACUAAAUUGGAGAAGGUAACACCGAGUACUAAACACAUUUACAGUUCAAUUCUCAUGCUGUGUAUAGUAAUUAAUGGUUGUGUUCAAUCCAGGUGCACUGCAUUUAAUGUUU